rnacentral:rRNA from 1 species
UACGAAGGGGGCUAGCGUUGCUCGGAAUCACUGGGCGUAAAGGGUGCGUAGGCGGGUCUUUAAGUCAGGGGUGAAAUCCUGGAGCUCAACUCCAGAACUGCCUUUGAUACUGAGGAUCUUGAGUUCGGGAGAGGUGAGUGGAACUGCGAGUGUAGAGGUGAAAUUCGUAGAUAUUGGGAGGAACACCAGUGGCGAAGGCGGCUCACUGGACCGGUUCUGACGCUGAGGCGCGAAAGCGUGGGGAGCAAACGGG